UCGAGAGGCUUCGGCAAUGGGCGAAAGCCCGACCGAGCGACGCCGCGUGGGCGAUGAAGGCCUUCGGGUCGUAAAGCCCUGUCACAGGGGGGAGAACCACAUCCAGCUGAAUAGGCUGGGUGCCUGACGUUGCCCCUGGAGAAAGACCCGGCUAACUCCGUGCCAGCAGCCGCGGUAAUACGGAGGGGUCAAGCGUUAUUCGGAUUUACUGGGCGUAAAGGGCGCGUAGGCGGGAUCACGGGUCGGCCGUGAAAUCCACCGGCUCAACCGGUGAACUGCGGUCGAAACUGCGAUUCUUGAGCUUGGUAGAGGAAGGCGGAAUUCCUGGUGUAGCGGUGGAAUGCGUAGAUAUCAGGAAGAACACCGGUAGCGAAGGCGGCCUUCUGGGCCAUGGCUGACGCUGAGGCGCGAAAGCUGGGGGAGCAAACAGG
rnacentral:rRNA from 1 species